UGGGGAAUAUUGGACAAUGGGCGAAAGCCUGAUCCAGCCAUGCCGCGUGUGUGAAGAAGGUCUUCGGAUUGUAAAGCACUUUAAGUUGGGAGGAAGGGCAGUAAGCGAAUACCUUGCUGUUUUGACGUUACCGACAGAAUAAGCACCGGCUAACUCUGUGCCAGCAGCCGCGGUAAUACAGAGGGUGCAAGCGUUGAUCGGAAUUACUGGGCGUAAAGCGCGCGUAGGUGGUUCGUUAAGUUGAAUGUGAAAGCCCCGGGCUCAACCUGGGAACUGCAUCCAAAACUGGCGAGCUAGAGUAGGGCAGAGGGUGGUGGAAUUUCCUGUGUAGCGGUGAAAUGCGUAGAUAUAGGAAGGAACACCAGUGGCGAAGGCGACCACCUGGGCUCAUACUGACACUGAGGUGCGAAAGCGUGGGGAGCAAACAGG
rnacentral:rRNA from 1 species